AUGGGCAACUGUGUCUAUCAGGUAAGCUCCAAUAAUUCAGAGAACGGAAGAAAUCCGAAAGCUAAGCUGAUAGUAACAGUGGCAGCAAUACAUGAAGUAUUCAGACAGUGCCAUAUUCAACCAAGACAUUUUGCUUUCAAAACAAUGGCUGCCACUUCUUCUUUUGAACUAUGGCUGCCAUUUGGUGUUGCGCUGGAGCCUAGAAGGGGAAAUAUACUCAAUAGACUGGCCUUAUCCACUCCACGCGCCAAACUGAUUGUUCUUCACAGAAUUUGUAAUGAGAUGCUUCAGAGAUAUUUGGAUCUCAAAUUGAAUAUAUAUAGGUGGUUCAAGAAAGAACGUUGUCAACCUACUGGUGGUGAUAAGUGCACUCAACUAUUUAGUGGUUCAUUUUAUAAACAGCUGUCCAUCUCAUAUGGUGCCACUGAUACACAUUCUAGAUUUUGA
rnacentral:rRNA from 1 species